GGGUUGUGAGGUUAAGCGACUAAGCGUACACGGUGGAUGCCCUGGCAGUCAGAGGCGAUGAAGGACGUGCUAAUCUGCGAUAAGCGUCGGUAAGGUGAUAUGAACCGUUAUAACCGGCGAUUUCCGAAUGGGGAAACCCAGUGUGAUUCGUCACACUAUCAUUAACUGAAUCCAUAGGUUAAUGAGGCGAACCGGGGGAACUGAAACAUCUAAGUACCCCGAGGAAAAGAAAUCAACCGAGAUUCCCCCAGUAGCGGCGAGCGAACGGGGAGCAGCCCAGAGCCUGAAUCAGUGUGUGUGUUAGUGGAAGCGUCUGGAAAGGCGCGCGAUACAGGGUGACAGCCCCGUACACAAAAAUGCACAUACUGUGAGCUCGAUGAGUAGGGCGGGACACGUGGUAUCCUGUCUGAAUAUGGGGGGACCAUCCUCCAAGGCUAAAUACUCCUGACUGACCGAUAGUGAACCAGUACCGUGAGGGAAAGGCGAAAAGAACCCCGGCGAGGGGAGUGAAAAAGAACCUGAAACCGUGUACGUACAAGCAGUGGGAGCACGCUUCGGCGUGUGACUGCGUACCUUUUGUAUAAUGGGUCAGCGACUUAUAUUCUGUAGCAAGGUUAACCGAAUAGGGGAGCCGAAGGGAAACCGAGUCUUAACUGGGCGUUAAGUUGCAGGGUAUAGACCCGAAACCCGGUGAUCUAGCCAUGGGCAGGUUGAAGGUUGGGUAACACUAACUGGAGGACCGAACCGACUAAUGUUGAAAAAUUAGCGGAUGACUUGUGGCUGGGGGUGAAAGGCCAAUCAAACCGGGAGAUAGCUGGUUCUCCCCGAAAGCUAUUUAGGUAGCGCCUCGUGAAUUCAUCUCCGGGGGUAGAGCACUGUUUCGGCAAGGGGGUCAUCCCGACUUACCAACCCGAUGCAAACUGCGAAUACCGGAGAAUGUUAUCACGGGAGACACACGGCGGGUGCUAACGUCCGUCGUGAAGAGGGAAACAACCCAGACCGCCAGCUAAGGUCCCAAAGUCAUGGUUAAGUGGGAAACGAUGUGGGAAGGCCCAGACAGCCAGGAUGUUGGCUUAGAAGCAGCCAUCAUUUAAAGAAAGCGUAAUAGCUCACUGGUCGAGUCGGCCUGCGCGGAAGAUGUAACGGGGCUAAACCAUGCACCGAAGCUGCGGCAGCGACACUAUGUGUUGUUGGGUAGGGGAGCGUUCUGUAAGCCUGCGAAGGUGUACUGUGAGGUAUGCUGGAGGUAUCAGAAGUGCGAAUGCUGACAUAAGUAACGAUAAAGCGGGUGAAAAGCCCGCUCGCCGGAAGACCAAGGGUUCCUGUCCAACGUUAAUCGGGGCAGGGUGAGUCGACCCCUAAGGCGAGGCCGAAAGGCGUAGUCGAUGGGAAACAGGUUAAUAUUCCUGUACUUGGUGUUACUGCGAAGGGGGGACGGAGAAGGCUAUGUUGGCCGGGCGACGGUUGUCCCGGUUUAAGCGUGUAGGCUGAUUUUCCAGGCAAAUCCGGAGAAUCAAGGCUGAGGCGUGAUGACGAGGCACUACGGUGCUGAAGCAACAAAUGCCCUGCUUCCAGGAAAAGCCUCUAAGCAUCAGGUAACAUCAAAUCGUACCCCAAACCGACACAGGUGGUCAGGUAGAGAAUACCAAGGCGCUUGAGAGAACUCGGGUGAAGGAACUAGGCAAAAUGGUGCCGUAACUUCGGGAGAAGGCACGCUGAUACGUAGGUGAAGUCCCUCGCGGAUGGAGCUGAAAUCAGUCGAAGAUACCAGCUGGCUGCAACUGUUUAUUAAAAACACAGCACUGUGCAAACACGAAAGUGGACGUAUACGGUGUGACGCCUGCCCGGUGCCGGAAGGUUAAUUGAUGGGGUCAGCGCAAGCGAAGCUCUUGAUCGAAGCCCCGGUAAACGGCGGCCGUAACUAUAACGGUCCUAAGGUAGCGAAAUUCCUUGUCGGGUAAGUUCCGACCUGCACGAAUGGCGUAAUGAUGGCCAGGCUGUCUCCACCCGAGACUCAGUGAAAUUGAACUCGCUGUGAAGAUGCAGUGUACCCGCGGCAAGACGGAAAGACCCCGUGAACCUUUACUAUAGCUUGACACUGAACAUUGAGCCUUGAUGUGUAGGAUAGGUGGGAGGCUUUGAAGUGUGGACGCCAGUCUGCAUGGAGCCGGCCUUGAAAUACCACCCUUUAAUGUUUGAUGUUCUAACGUAGACCCGUGAUCCGGGUUGCGGACAGUGUCUGGUGGGUAGUUUGACUGGGGCGGUCUCCUCCUAAAGAGUAACGGAGGAGCACGAAGGUUGGCUAAUCCUGGUCGGACAUCAGGAGGUUAGUGCAAUGGCAUAAGCCAGCUUGACUGCGAGCGUGACGGCGCGAGCAGGUGCGAAAGCAGGUCAUAGUGAUCCGGUGGUUCUGAAUGGAAGGGCCAUCGCUCAACGGAUAAAAGGUACUCCGGGGAUAACAGGCUGAUACCGCCCAAGAGUUCAUAUCGACGGCGGUGUUUGGCACCUCGAUGUCGGCUCAUCACAUCCUGGGGCUGAAGUAGGUCCCAAGGGUAUGGCUGUUCGCCAUUUAAAGUGGUACGCGAGCUGGGUUUAGAACGUCGUGAGACAGUUCGGUCCCUAUCUGCCGUGGGCGCUGGAGAACUGAGGGGGGCUGCUCCUAGUACGAGAGGACCGGAGUGGACGCAUCACUGGUGUUCGGGUUGUCAUGCCAAUGGCACUGCCCGGUAGCUAAAUGCGGAAGAGAUAAGUGCUGAAAGCAUCUAAGCACGAAACUUGCCCCGAGAUGAGUUCUCCCUGACCCUUUAAGGGUCCUGAAGGAACGUUGAAGACGACGACGUUGAUAGGCCGGGUGUGUAAGCGCAGCGAUGCGUUGAGCUAACCGGUACUAAUGAACCGUGAGGCUUAACCUUACAACGCCGAAGGUGUUU
rnacentral:rRNA from 1 species